CACUGCCGAGAAAAGCCUCUAGAUAGAAAAUAGGUGCCCGUACCGCAAACCGACACAGGUAGUCAAGAUGAGAAUUCUAAGGUGAGCGAGCGAACUCUCGUUAAGGAACUCGGCAAAAUGACCCCGUAACUUCGGGAGAAGGGGUGCUCUUUAGGGUUAACGCCCAGAAGAGCCGCAGUGAAUAGGCCCAAGCGACUGUUUAUCAAAAACACAGGUCUCUGCUAAACCGUAAGGUGAUGUAUAGGGGCUGACGCCUGCCCGGUGCUGGAAGGUUAAGAGGAGUGGUUAGCUUCUGCGAAGCUACGAAUCGAAGCCCCAGUAAACGGCGGCCGUAACUAUAACGGUCCUAAGGUAGCGAAAUUCCUUGUCGGGUAAGUUCCGACCCGCACGAAAGGCGUAACGAUUUGGGCACUGUCUCAACGAGAGACUCGGUGAAAUCAUAGUACCUGUGAAGAUGCAGGUUACCCGCGACAGGACGGAAAGACCCCGUGGAGCUUUACUGUAGCCUGAUAUUGAAAUUCGGCACAGCUUGUACAGGAUAGGUAGGAGCCUUUGAAACGUGAGCGCUAGCUUACGUGGAGGCGCUGGUGGGAUACUACCCUAGCUGUGUUGGCUUUCUAACCCGCACCACUUAUCGUGGUGGGAGACAGUGUCAGGCGGGCAGUUUGACUGGGGCGGUCGCCUCCUAAAAGGUAACGGAGGCGCUCAAAGGUUCCCUCAGAAUGGUUGGAAAUCAUUCAUAGAGUGUAAAGGCAUAAGGGAGCUUGACUGCGAGACCUACAAGUCGAGCAGGGUCGAAAGACGGACUUAGUGAUCCGGUGGUUCCGCAUGGAAGGGCCAUCGCUCAACGGAUAAAAGCUACCCCGGGGAUAACAGGCUUAUCUCCCCCAAGAGUUCACAUCGACGGGGAGGUUUGGCACCUCG
rnacentral:rRNA from 1 species